rnacentral:rRNA from 1 species
UACGUAGGGUCGAGCGUUGUCCGGAAUUACUGGGCGUAAAGAGCUCGUAGGCGGUUUGUCGCGUCUGCUGUGAAAACUCGGGGCUUAACCCCGGGCCUGCAGUGGGUACGGGCAGACUAGAGUGCGGUAGGGGGAGACUGGAAUUCCUGGUGUAGCGGUGAAAUGCGCAGAUAUCAGGAGGAACACCGGUGGCGAAGGCGGGGUCUCUGGGCCGUAACUGACGCUGAGGAGCGAAAGCAUGGGGAGCGAACAGG